CCUACGGGAGGCAGCAGUGAGGAAUAUUGGUCAAUGGACGAGAGUCUGAACCAGCCAAGUAGCGUGAAGGAUGACUGCCCUAUGGGUUGUAAACUUCUUUUAUAUGGGAAUAAAAUGUUCCACGUGUGGGAUUUUGUAUGUACCAUAUGAAUAAGGAUCGGCUAACUCCGUGCCAGCAGCCGCGGUAAUACGGAGGAUCCGAGCGUUAUCUGGAUUUAUUGGGUUUAAAGGGAGCGUAGGUGGAUUGUUAAGUCAGUUGUGAAAGUUUGCGGCUCAACCGUAAAAUUGCAGUUGAAACUGGCAGUCUUGAGUACAGUAGAGGUGGGCGGAAUUCGUGGUGUAGCGGUGAAAUGCUUAGAUAUCACGAAGAACUCCGAUUGCGAAGGCAGUUCACUGGACUGCAACUGACACUGAGGCUCGAAAGUGUGGGUAUCAAACAGGAUUAGAUACCCCUGUAGUC
rnacentral:rRNA from 1 species